rnacentral:tRNA from 1 species
GCUUCCAUAAUAGAGUGGUAGCAUGUUUGCUUUUUAAGCGAAAGGUCAUGAGUUCAGUCCUUGUUGGGAACU